GGAUUAGAUACCCUGGUAGUCCACGCUGUAAACGAUGAGUGCUAGAUAUCGGGGUUUUUUCUUCGGUGUCGCAGCUAACGCGUUAAGCGCUCCGCCUGGGGAGUACGAUCGCAAGAUUAAAACUCAAAGGAAUUGACGGGGGCCCGCACAAGCGGUGGAGCAUGUGGUUUAAUUCGAAAAUACACGAAGAACCUUACCAAGUCUUGACAUAAGGAUUUUAGCUUUUAGAAAUUUAAGCUUCGGUUCGGCCGGGUCCUAUACAGGUGCUGCAUGGCUGUCGUCAGCUCGUGCCG
rnacentral:rRNA from 1 species